GCAAAAUUGAUUUCCGCCUGUUUAUCAAAAACAUGUCGUCUUGUUUAUAUUUUGAGGUCUGGCCUGCUCACUGAGCGUAUUUUUAAAGAGCCGCGGUAUUUUGACCGUGCAAAGGUAGCAUAAUCAUUAGUCUCUUAAUUAGUGGCUGGAAUGAAUGGCUUGACGAGAAAUCAACUGUCUCUUAAUAAAUUUUUGAAUUUAACUUUUGAGUCAAAAGGCUUAAAUUCUUCUUUAGGACGAGAAGACCCUAUGGAGCUUGACAUUUUAUUUUUAUAUAGUUUUUUGUUUGUCUUUCUAUAUUUAAUGAUGAUGUUUUGUUGGGGUGACAUGAAGAAUAGAUAAACUCUUCAUUAUUAUAUCAUUUAUUUAUGUUUGUUAUUUUGAUCCAUAAUUUAUGAUCAUAAGAUUAAGUUACCUUAGGGAUAACAGCGUAAUUGUUUUUGAGAGCUCAUAUCGACAAAGCAGAUUGCGACCUCGAUGUUGGAUUAAGAAAAAUUUUGGGUGCAGGAGCCCAAUGAUUAGGUCAGUUCGACCUUUAAAUUCUUACAUGAUCUGAGUUCAGACCGGCGUGAGCCAGGUCGGUUUCUAUCCUAAGAUUGUUAAUCCAUAUUAGUACGAAAGGACCAUAUGGUUAAAAUAUUUUUUGUUAUAUUGAUUAAUAUUAAUUUAUUUA